GGUGCCAUAGCCAAGUGGUAAGGCAAAGGUCUGCAAAACCUUCAUUCCCCGGUCCGAAUCCGGGUGGCACCUCCA
rnacentral:tRNA from 2 species